AACGAACGCUGGCGGCAGGCCUAACACAUGCAAGUCGAGCGCCCCGCAAGGGGAGCGGCAGACGGGUGAGUAACGCGUGGGAAUCUACCUAAUGGUACGGAAUAGCCCCGGGAAACUUGGAGUAAUACCGUAUAAGCCCGCAAGGGGAAAGAUUUAUCGCCAUUAGAUGAGCCCGCGUUGGAUUAGCUAGUUGGUGGGGUAACGGCCCACCAAGGCGACGAUCCAUAGCUGGUCUGAGAGGAUGAUCAGCCACACUGGGACUGAGACACGGCCCAGACUCCUACGGGAGGCAGCAGUGGGGAAUAUUGGACAAUGGGCGAAAGCCUGAUCCAGCCAUGCCGCGUGAGUGACGAAGGUCUUCGGAUUGUAAAGCUCUUUUGGCGGGGAAGAUAAUGACGGUACCCGCAGAAUAAGCCCCGGCUAACUUCGUGCCAGCCGCCGCAGUAAAAC
rnacentral:rRNA from 1 species